UACGAAGGGGCUAGCGUUGCUCGGAAUCAUUGGGCGUAAAGCGCGCGUAGGCGGCCCUGUAAGUCCGUUGUGAAAGUCAAAGGCUCAACCUUUGAAAGCCGAUGGAUACUGCAGGGCUAGAGUCCGGAAGAGGCGAGUGGAAUUCCUGGUGUAGCGGUGGAAUGCGCAGAUAUCAGGAGGAACACCAAUAGCGAAGGCAGCUCGCUGGGACGGUACUGACGCUAAGGCGUCGAAAGCGUGGGGAGCGAACAGG
rnacentral:rRNA from 1 species